AAAUAACAUGUAUUGCUUUGUUUGCCCAGAUGCACUUUAUGUGGAUAUGCCAAACUUACAGUUCUAAAGGUUUCCUAGGAUCCCCAGGAUCCCCAGGCUCCCCAGGUUCCUCAGGCUUCCUAGGUUCCUCAGAAUCCCCAGGUUCCUCAGGUUCCUCAUGCUUGAGAUCGCUUCCUUCAGCUGCUGCAGUGAGGCAUGCAGUUUGUGCUUCUGGGACAUCAGGUCAGACAUCUUUUUCAGCAGCAACAUCUUCUCAGCUUCAUCCAGAGAGACCUGGAAAAUGAACAACCAAAGUCUGUUGGC